UAGGGAAUAUUGCGCAAUGGACGAAAGUCUGACGCAGCCACGCCGCGUGAGUGAAGAAGGCCUUCGGGUUGUAAAGCUCUGUCGCCCGGGAAAAACGGCUAUUAGGGGAAAGUUCUAGUAGCGUGAUGGUACCGGGAGAGGAAGCACCGGCAAACUCUGUGCCAGCAGCCGCGGUAAUACAGAGGGUGCAAGCGUUGUUCGGAUUUACUGGGCGUAAAGGGCGCGUAGGCGGCAUGACAAGUCACUUGUGAAAUCUCUGGGCUUAACCCAGAACGGCCAAGUGAUACUGUCGCGCUAGAGUGCAGAAGGGGCAAUCGGAAUUCUUGGUGUAGCGGUGAAAUGCGUAGAUAUCAAGAGGAACACCUGAGGUGAAGACGGGUUGCUGGGCUGACACUGACGCUGAGGCGCGAAAGCCAGGGGAGCAAACGGGAUUAGAUACCCUCGUAGUCCCUGAGCGGGCUGGCAAGGCGCAU
rnacentral:rRNA from 1 species